GACGAACGCUGGCGGCGUGCUUAACACAUGCAAGUCGUACGGUAAGGCCCUUUCGGGGGUACACGAGUGGCGAACGGGUGAGUAACACGUGAGUAGCCUGCCCACAACUUUGGGAUAACGCUAGGAAACUGGUGCUAAUACUGGAUAUGUGCUCCUGCUGCAUGGUGGGGGUUGGAAAGCUCCGGCGGUUGUGGAUGGACUCGCGGCCUAUCAGCUUGUUGGUGGGGUAGUGGCCUACCAAGGCGGCGACGGGUAGCCGGCCUGAGAGGGUGACCGGCCACAUUGGGACUGAGAUACGGCCCAGACUCCUACGGGAGGCAGCAGUGGGGAAUAUUGCACAAUGGGCGCAAGCCUGAUGCAGCAACGCCGCGUGCGGGAUGACGGCCUUCGGGUUGUAAACCGCUUUCAGCAGGGACGAAGCUUUUUGUGACGGUACCUGCAGAAGAAGCACCGGCUAACUACGUG
rnacentral:rRNA from 1 species